AGAGUAUCACAAUGACCUACUUUUCAAUGAGACUGGUGAUGGUAUGCGGGAUUAUCGGGAUCGUAUCCGCCCUGGAGGGUGACAAUGUCUGUACACGUUCUGUUGCUCAGAAAGUUUCGUACAUAGAGACAAGAAGGGUAUCUAAACAAAGAUGCAGCACCCCUACCGAUUGUAAAACUGUCUAUUCACUGCAAAAAGU